AUGAAAAUGCUCAGUUGGAACUGUCGAGGGCUGGGACAACCUCGUACGGAUCAGGAGCUUGUGUGUCUGACUAAGACGCACCGUCCCAAUGUUAUCUUUCUUUCUGAAACUAGGAAAAAUAAAGAGUAUGUUGAGUUCUUGCGGCACCGGUUGGGUAUGACUAAUGUGUUUACUGUUUCUGGCCAUGGUAAAGGUGGAGGUUUAGCCGUGUUUUGGGAU
rnacentral:rRNA from 1 species